rnacentral:misc_RNA from 1 species
AGGUCGCAGUGCGCGCUAGCUGACGGGCUCAAUAGGACUCUUGCACGCGCAUGCAAGCGGAACCGGCGCUAUGGGCUGUGCACGAGCAAGGCAGAUCACGGUCGUGACAUGUGUACAGGAGCAGGAUUCGAGCUUCUGCAUCGGGCCUGGACAUUGCCUGUGCAAACGCGAACGGAAAAGAUGUCGACGCUGUAGGCGGCGUUUCGUGUGCCAGCUGCCGACGACGCAUGGCGCACGGUAAUGCGCAGGCAUGUCGGGAAAAACUGGAACAGGCCCUGUAACUCGGGUAUACAUUCUAAAGUUUGGGUAUCUUCCUGCGAUUGUCAAUUGCAGGUGUUGCAGGAUUUUCUGUCACUGAUUCUUUACCUCUCUCUUGUCUCCGCCCGUAUAUACGACAGUCGAUACUGACCAGCCAGCUUCGAUGUCAGGAUUCGAAGGGUGUUGACGGUGGCACGCAAGUGCCGAGUUCACGGCGUCCGGCUGUUGCCCAGGCAUUUCAUGCACUAGUGAAAGUUACGAUCUAGGCUUCGGUUGCCGAAUUCACCUUCCAUGUAUACAGGCCUGGUGCGUUCUUUUGGAGCGAUGACGUACCCGGUUGUGAUCGGGUGUUCAGUGAUGUCUAACGCGCCUCUUCCUCCGAGUGCUGCCCUGUGGCGCGCAAACGCUUGCUUUAUUGCCUGAUACUCGUACUUGGCGGGUACGAAAGGCCCCUUUGGAUGCCGUCCUCAGUUUCCUCGCCAGCCGCGGCACCCUGCGAUGACGGCAUUCUUGUGCGCGAUUCCAUCGGCGCGUACGAUGCCCGUUGCACACACCAAAAGCGGCUGCAGCCCACUUGGUGGAGGAUUUGUGAAACGUGGUGUUUUCCAUGAUGAAACAAGUGCCGGACGGCGAAGGCUCGUCGGAGAACAAAUCGAGAGCUCAUGAUCCGUGUACACUACCCUGGUGCAAAUUGGUGAAGAACGAUGCACUGGAAGCGAUCGCUGCGAUGACUCAUAUCCGAGUUUCAGACAUUUUCGCAUGCAAACCGGAGGAGUGCGAGCCUCAGGGAACAUGUCACAUGACGCACCCCGCACUGGGUUCGAAUCCCGUUUUAUCGAUGUUCACACCGAGAGGACGUGUCUCCUUUACAAACGAGAUCAACGAUUUGACGCGACAGGUCCAGUGAACCUUUGGGAUGCGCUGGUGAACAAAGCGUCAAGAGACGACAUCGAUGAUCUUGCUGUUUUACUCCUGCCACGCAAAUCGCUUCGCCCACGAUCAGCCUUGAAACAGAGAGGUCGAUAACGUGAAGUAUACGUGAUUUGAACAUUCUGCACAUGAAGAGAGGAGAGGAGUCGAUGCUUGUACGUACGCUUUGAAUGAUCAUAUUUGUUAUGUUGUAUGCCCGUAUUCAAGGGAGUCAUGAAUCAUGGCAAUUCCGAUGACGCUAAGAAUUCCAGUGUUCAAGCGUCGGAGGAGCCUUUCCAAAACGAAGACCGAGACACCCGAACCUGCGUUUGAGUCCAAAAAAACCCGGACUGCUGCACUGGUACUGUCGAAGAUGUACUUGUACAAAAGAAUCAAAAGCCAAGAACACACCAUGCAGUUCAGCGUUCUAUUCUAAACUGAGACAAGCGUAGAUUCGAUU